AAUAAGUGCAACCGUGAGUUUUCAUGUCUAACUUUGAUCGUCUGUCUUAUUUAAAUUUUUUAUGAUUAAUAUUCUUGUUGUUAUUAGAUUAUAAAAUAUGAAUGGUAAUUUAUGUGUGACUUAUGUUUUUUUUAAGUUUUUUCAAAAAAAUUGCAAACAAGACAGACGGUUAAAAUUAGACACGAAAACUUAUGGCCGUGCUUAUU
rfam:Oryza sativa (indica cultivar-group) chromosome 9, whole genome shotgun sequence.